GUGACUUAAGCCGUAUACCGAAGCUAUGGCUGACAUCGCAAGAUGUCGGGGUAGGAAAGCGUUCCAAAUGCAGCGAAGUGGAAGGGGUAACCGACCAUGGAGCGUUUGGAAGUGAGAAUGCAGACAUAAGUAACGAUAAAGAUGGUUAAAAUCCAUCUCGCCUCAAUUCCAAGGAUUCCUGGGGAAGGUUCGUCCUCCCAGGGUUAGUCGGGAGCUAAGACGAGGCCGUAAGGAGUAGUCGAUGCACAGCUGGUUCAAUAUUCCAGCACCACCUUAUUAGAGUUCGAUGCCAAGGAGUGACGGAGAAAGUUAACACGAGCGGGGCGCUGAUUUCCGUUCAAGUCCGUAGGUUAUUCGGGGAUAAAAUACCGGAUCUAUCUGAAAGACGAUGAAGAGCUGAGGCUACGGCCGAGGCGAUUCGUGUGAUACUCGGCUUCCAGGAAAAGCUUCGUGGCUAUUUGAUAGGGUGCCCGUACCGUAAACCGACACAGGUGGAAUAGAUGAGUAUUCUAAGGCGCGUGGGUUAAAUCUCUCUAAGGAACUCGGCAAACUGACCCCGUAUGUUAGCUAUAAGGGGUGCCUCGCAAGAGGCCACAGAUAAGAGUGUCAACCGACUGUUUAGCAAAAACACAGCUCUCUGCUAAGUCGCAAGACGACGUAUAGGGAGUGACUUGUGACCAAUGCGGAAAGGUGAAAGCCUGGGGUGCAAGCUCCGGGUCUAAGCCCCCGUGAAUGUCGGCCGUAACUAUAACGGUCCUAAGGUAGCGAAAUUCCUUGUCGGGUAAGUUCCGACCCGCACGAAUCAAGUAGCGAGUUGACAACUGUCUCGGAGAGAGGCCCAGUGAAAUUGUAGUGGCGGUGAAGAUGCCGCCUACCCGCAGCAGGACGGAAAGACCCUAUGCACCUUUACUGUAAGCUGUUAUUGUCGCUUGAUUUUUAAUACGUAGCAUAGCUGGGAGACUGCGAAGCCUGCCUUCAGGGGCGGGCCGAGUCGAAAUAUGAAAUACCAGUUUUUAAUUGUUAGGCGUCUAACCUCGUCCCAUUAUCUGGGCGUGGGACAGUGAUAGCAGGUCAGUUUUUCUGGGGCGGAAUCCUCCCAAAGAGUAACGGAGGAUUACGAAGGUUCCCUCAGCCCGGUCGGUAAUCGGGCUAUAGAGCGCAUGAGUAUAAGGGAGCUUUACUGUGAGACCAACAAGUCGAGCAGUUGCGAAAGCAGGUUCAAGUGAUCCGGUGGUUGAAUGUGGAAUCGCCAUCGCUCAUAGGACAAAAGGUACGCUAGGGAUAACAGGCUGAUCGCGCCCAAGCGUUCACAGCGACGGCGCGGUUUGGCACCUCGAUGUCGGCUCAUCACAUCCUGGGGCUGA
rnacentral:rRNA from 1 species